rnacentral:rRNA from 1 species
AGAGACAGCAGUCGCCGCGGUAACACGGAGGGGGCUAGCGUUGUUCGGAAUUACUGGGCGUAAAGAGCACGUAGGCGGCUUGGUAAGUUAGAGGUGAAAGCCCGGAGCUCAACUCCGGAAUUGCCUUUAAGACUGCCGAGCUAGUAGGUGAGAGAGGUAAGUGGAACUCCGAGUGUAGAGGUGAAAUUCGUAGAUAUUCGGAAGAACACCAGUGGCGAAGGCGGCCAUCUGGGACAACACUGACGCUGAGGCACGAAAGCGUGGGGAGCAAACAGGAUUAGAUACCCCAGUAGUCCCUGUCUCUUAUAA